UGCUUUUAACGGAAAAGUUUUCCAUUAAAAGCAUUUUUGGAACAGAGCGUCUAGAUUGGCCACAGAAGCUUUUCCGCAAAAAAGCCCCGAUCACCAUUUUCGUGAUCGGGGCUUUUUUGCGGAAAACAAAU